GCCAAUAGGGCUGCUUAAGCAGGCUACUUUGAUAUAGUAGAUUGAGGACAUUUGUUUCGUUGGUA
rnacentral:tRNA from 1 species